GAUGAACGCUGGCGGCGUGCCUAAUACAUGCAAGUCGAGCGAACGGACGAGAAGCUUGCUUCUCUGAUGUUAGCGGCGGACGGGUGAGUAACACGUGGAUAACCUACCUAUAAGACUGGGAUAACUUCGGGAAACCGGAGCUAAUACCGGAUAAUAUUUUGAACCGCAUGGUUCAAAAGUGAAAGACGGUCUUGCUGUCACUUAUAGAUGGAUCCGCGCUGCAUUAGCUAGUUGGUAAGGUAACGGCUUACCAAGGCAACGAUGCAUAGCCGACCUGAGAGGGGGAUCGGCCACACUGAAACUGGGACACGGUCCAGACUCCUACGGGAGGCAGCAGUAGGGAAUCUUCCGCAAGGGGCGAAAGCCUGACGGAGAAACGCCGCGGGAGGGAUGAAGGUCUUCGGAUCGUAAAACUCUGUUAUUAGGGAAGAACAUAUGUGUAAGUAACUGUGCACAUCUGGACGGUACCUAAGCAGAAAGCCACGCCUAACUACGU
rnacentral:rRNA from 1 species